AGAGUUUGAUCCUGGCUCAGGAUGAACGCUAGCUACAGGCUUAACACAUGCAAGUCGAGGGGAAACGACAUCGAAAGCUUGCUUUUGAUGGGCGUCGACCGGCGCACGGGUGAGUAACGCGUAUCCAACCUGCCCAUCACUUGGGGAUAACCUUGCGAAAGUAAGACUAAUACCCAAUCGAUAUCUCUAGAAGGCAUCUGAAAGAGAUUAAAGAUUUAUCGGUGAUGGAUGGGGGUGCGUCUGAUUAGCUUGUUGGCGGGGUAACGGCCACCAAAGCAACGAUCAGUAGGGGUUCUGAGAGGAGGUCCCCACAUUGGAACUGAGACACGGUCCAAACUCCGUACGGGAGCA
rnacentral:rRNA from 1 species